CCUCGGGGGGCUGCAGUGGGGAAUAUUGGACAAUGGGGGCAACCCUGAUCCAGCCAUGCCGCGUGUGUGAAGAAGGCCCUCGGGUUGUAAAGCACUUUCAGUGAGGAAGAACGCCUGGUGGUUAAUACCCAUCAGGAAAGACAUCACUCACAGAAGAAGCACCGGCUAACUCCGUGCCAGCAGCCGCGGUAAUACGGAGGGUGCGAGCGUUAAUCGGAAUUACUGGGCGUAAAGCGCGCGUAGGUGGCUUGAUAAGCCGGUUGUGAAAGCCCCGGGCUCAACCUGGGAACGGCAUCCGGAACUGUCAAGCUAGAGUGCAGGAGAGGAAGGUAGAAUUCCCGGUGUAGCGGUGAAAUGCGUAGAGAUCGGGAGGAAUACCAGUGGCGAAGGUGGCCUUCUGGACUGACACUGACACUGAGGUGCGAAAGCGUGGGUAGCAAACAGGAUUAGAUACCCUUGUAGUC
rnacentral:rRNA from 1 species